GUGCCAGCAGCCGCGGUAAUACGGAGGGUGCGAGCGUUAAUCGGAAUUACUGGGCGUAAAGGGCGCGUAGGCGGCUGAUCAAGUCAGGUGUGAAAGCCCACGGCUUAACCGUGUGAAGUGCAUCUGAAACUGGUCGGCUUGAGUAUCGGAGAGGAAAGUGGAAUUCCCGGUGUAGAGGUGAAAUUCGUAGAUAUCGGGAGGAAUACCGGUGGCGAAGGCGACUUUCUGGACGAAUACUGACGCUGAGGUGCGAAAGCGUGGGGAGCAAACAGGAAUAGAUACCCGGGUAGUCCACGCCGGA
rnacentral:rRNA from 1 species